rnacentral:rRNA from 1 species
ACCUCGGAACUGCGUCUGAAACUACUCGACUAGAGUAUUGGAGAGGGUAACGGAAUUCACGGUGUAGCAGUGAAAUGCGUAGAUAUCGUGAGGAACACCAGAGGCGAAGGCGGUUACCUGGACAAUUACUGACGCUCAGGCACGAAAGCGUGGGGAGCAAAAGGGAUUAGAUACCCCUGUAGUCCACGCCCUAAACGGUGCACACUAGGUCUUGGCGGAUUCGACCCCACCAGGGCCCAAGCUAACGCGUUAAGUGUGCCGCCUGAGGACUACGGUCGCAAGACUAAAACUCAAAGGAAUUGACGGGGGCCCGCACAAGCGGUGGAGCAUGUGGCUUAAUUCGAUGCAACGCGAAGAACCUUACCAGGCCUUGACAUGCACUAGACCGACACUGAAAGGUGUCUUCCCUUCG